rnacentral:rRNA from 1 species
GUGCAGCAGGCGAGAAUUUUUCUCAAUGGGGGAAACCCUGAAGGAGCGACGCCGCGUGGAGGAUGGAGGUCUUCGGGUUGUAAACUCCUGUCAUUUGAGAACAAGGUGCACACGUUAACUGCGUGCGCAUUGAUAGUAUCAGAAGAGGAAGGGACGGCUAACUCUGUGCCAGCAGCCGCGGUAAUACAGAGGUCCCAAGCGUUGUUCGGAUUCAUUGGGCGUAAAGGGUGCGUAGGUGGCGCCGUAAGUCGGGUGUGAAAUCUCGGGGCUUAACUCCGAAACUGCAUUCGAUACUGCGGUGCUUGAGGACUGGAGAGGAGACUGGAAUUCAUGGUGUAGCAGUGAAAUGCGUAGAGAUCAUGAGGAAGACCAGUGGCGAAGGCGGGUCUCUGGACAGUUCCUGACACUGAGGCACGAAGGCCAGGGGAGCAAACGGGAUUAGAUACCCCCGUAGU